CCGCUCCCCACUGCACUACGCGUGGUUGUGAGUUGAACUGAGUCAACCCAGUGUUAGGCUCUCUCCAACAGUACCCGUAUCGGUCCCCUGUUUUUCCGUGUACCGCGUUCCCCUCGCCCCUCCAACGGUUCCUCCAUCCGUCCCCCUCGCCGUCCGGGGUCGUCGCCGCUCCCCGCAUAUGUGGAGGGAGUACGAGCUCCCCUACCCGGUGGCAGCAGUAGUUCCCGCGAGCGGAAGGCGUUGCGCACUUGCGCGGGGAGGGUAUAAGCGCAUGGGAAGCCGGGAGGCUCGGCGGCGUCCCAGCGCGGGGGGAGGGGGGCUUGCGAAGGUGGCGCGGGGAGGCGUGGGGGAGGGCGCAAAUCCGGUGGAGGCUGUAGAUCCGGUGGGGCGGAGGGCGCAGAUCCCGGUCGUGGAGGGGAGGCGCCGUCGUGCGAGGUCUUGGAGUGGGUCGCGGAGGCGCUCCAGCUCCCUUCGGCGUGGGAGUCCGACCACGGGCGCUGCGUGGCGUUCAGCGGGCGAGGUCGCAGCUGAAGAGGAGGAUUCGGGCCGGGCACAGCGUCGCCACCGCUGCCCGGGAGGAUCCCCACUCCGUGCCCGCAAGAAGGCCCGCGCGUUGAAAAGGACUAUGGACAACUCCUGGUAUUUGUGUGCAGGGAUUACUUACAUGGAACAAGGUUCCAAUAUGCCAUUUUGUCAGAUGCUCAAUCUGCCUGUGGCGACCCAAUCUACCCCGUCAGGGCCUCAACCUGUUCCACCUGUGAGCAAUGACCCAUCCUCAGGUAAUUAGUGGCGGAAAUGUGGGGCUAGCAAGGGCAAGCAAAACAAUCUCUAUUGAAGAAGACAGAAUCCUUGUGUCAUGCUAGCUAUACGUAAGCCUUGACCCAAUAACAGUCGUGCGCAGGGGCGGGGCAAAGGAAGGCUUCGUUUUGGAAGACAAUCGAGCGCAACUACAACAACCAAAAGGGUGCUUCCCACCAAGUGCGCACGCUUCGCAGUCUUGAAGGGAGGUGAUCGGACAUUAAAGAGCAAGCUAGCAAGUUUGAAGCCCACUACAACUGUGUUGUCCGAGAACCGCAGCGGCUUCAAUGAUAUGGACUACUUGAUUUCAGCUACGAUAUCAUGAGUA